rnacentral:tRNA from 1 species
GCCCCCGUCGCAGACUUCGGGCUGCUGCGCGCCGCCCACGACGCGGCGGCCGAGAUGGAUGGGGUCACCACCCACGUGGGGCU